ensembl:lncRNA
CCACUGUGGGCUGGCCCAUUCCCGCUGCCGCUCUGUCCCGGCUUCGCUCGCCCCAGCCCCUGGGAAACUAUUUCCACAUAGUGAAGACCUUAAGAUUGAAGACAUACGAAAUUCAUUUGUCUACAUCUAAGUGAGUGUUAGGCUCUUUUAAAACUUCCUGUACAAGCACAUGAAGAAAGCGGAAGGUCCUUUUUGUGAGAAUUGCUGACUGGCAUGCAUUGUUUGACGGGAACUUCAAACUUCAUUUGACAGAGAUUCUAAUUGCACUCUUCCUCAUCCUGCUGGAGAAGCUGACAACCUAUAUUUUGCAGCUCAAAAAGGAAAAUGCAAGGCUCAACUUGUUUCUGAUGGAGAAUUCAGGAGUGCCUCGAAGAACAGGGAGAGUGAAAUGUUUCCUUUCUUAUUUUCUUCUCUUUCAAGGCAGUUAACCCAUUGCUUAUUUGGAAACGUUGCAGCAUGAAAAAUCCAGGGAUACAAGAGCUGACCAUUUAUGUGCCAAUAUAGCAGUCACAUUUGUUUGUCUCUGCCAAUUUGAUAUUUAAUCUAAUACUCCACCCUGUGUUAAAAUAGCUUCUGUAGAAGGCAGUAGUUCUUACCCAGGAGAGAUUUUUGUCCUUCCGCCUCAAACCAACAUUUGGCAAUGUCUAAAAACAGUUAUGAUUGACAAAUACUGCAUGUCUCUCUCAUAUGCAAGCCAAAAAAAGUUGACAUCAAAGUAGAAGAGAGGAGAAUGGUGGUUACUAGAGGCUGGGAAGGCAAGGGGGUAUAGGGGAAAGAGUGAGUUUGGAUAAUGUUAGUAGGAAUAAGUUCUCCUAUUCUAGUUUACAGUAACCAUUCUAUUGUUUAUGAAGAACUAAGAGAGGAACUCAAUGGCUUCAAAUAUAAAGAAAUGUUAAGGAGACAGGAAUGCUGAUUACCUAGAUGUGAUCAUUACAUGUUGCACAUGUGUUAAAAUAUCACACUGUACCCCAGAAAUAUGUACCACUAUUAAAAAUUUUUGUAAUAAAAUUUAAUAAAUAAAUAAGGAUAAUUGUG